CUGUGGGCAGCACUGGAGUGGUCUUCCCUUUCUCAAAUGGCCAUCUGUUCUGAUUAAAGAUCUAUGUCUAAUUUGAUAAGUGAGAAAGGGAUCACAACUCCAGUGCUGCCUACAG
rnacentral:pre_miRNA from 1 species